GUCCACGCCGUAAACGAUGGGCACUAGGUCCUUGGGGGAGCGACCCCGUGAGGGCCGGCGCUAACGCAUUAAGUGCCCCGCCUGGGGAGUACGGCCGCAAGGCUGAAACUCAAAGGAAUUGACGGGGGCCCGCACAAGCGGUGGAGCAUGUGGUUUAAUUCGACGCAACGCGAAGAACCUUACCUGGGCUUGACAUGCUGGGGAAACCCUGGGGAAACCUGGGGCCUCCUUCGGGACUCCAGCACAGGUGCUGCAUGGCUGUCGU
rnacentral:rRNA from 1 species